AGAGUUUGAUCCUGGCUCAGGACGAACGCUGGCGGCGUGCCUAAUACAUGCAAGUCGAACGGUCUUUCUAUGGAAGCUUGCUUCCACUGAGAAGAUAGUGGCGAACGGGUGAGUAACACGUGGGUAACCUGCCCAUAAGAGGGGGAUAACAUCCGGAAACGGGUGCUAAUACCGCAUAGUUUUCUUGAUCGCAUGAUCGGGAAAGGAAAGACGGCCUUUGUGCUGUCGCUUAUGGAUGGACCCGCGGCGUAUUAGUUAGUUGGUGAGGUAACGGCUCACCAAGACGAUGAUACGUAGCCGACCUGAGAGGAUGAUCCGCCACACUGGGACUGAGACACGGCCCAGACUCCUACGGGAGGCAGCAGUGGGGAAUAUUGGACAAUGGGGGGAACCCUGAUCCAGCCAUGCCGCG
rnacentral:rRNA from 1 species